CUGCCUGAACCUCUCCAUCUUCACUACCACCCUUGUGUCUUCCUAACUAGCUAGCUCCAUACACAUACCUAAACAUUUUGUUUCUUAAAAGUCCCAGCUUUUUUUUCGUUUCAUAAAUGGAUUCUAAAAGAAAAUAUAAUCAAUACUUGACAAUAAUACUCUUUGUUACCAUUAUUUUUGUAUCAUGUUCCAACCCAAUAAUGGCAGCGAGUCCAUUAGGGAGUGAUGAUCAUCAGCUUGGAGAUAAUCCAGACCAACAUAUGCCCCGUAAUCCCGACAAGGUCGAGCAUUAUAAUCCAUGCCGAUAUGUGCCCGGAAGUCUUAGUAGAUGCAGAGUUGGUGGACCUCCAGUUUGACGUAGUAAAAUGAUGAAUGAAUAAUCCAGGGAGGUUUUCUCUUAUACUUGCCAAAAACUAGCCUGCAAGGCAUGUCAACCCCUAAAGUUUCACUUUUUUUACCCAUGGUUUUAGCCUUCUUUAGCCUUCGAGGAAUGCUAAUUAUUUCUGUGUCUUUUGC
rnacentral:lncRNA from 1 species